ACUUAAUAAAAUAAAUGUUGUAUUUUCCACAUUCAAAUCUAUUUAACAUUUAAACUGAUGAUGAAAAAUAAUGUGAAUUUGUAGCUUUUUUCAUAGGCAUUCGAAUGAUUUUAGUACAAAUUUGUAUUACCAAAAUUUACAAUGUUAUGCAUGUUUGAACAAAAUUAAUUUCAAAUUCCAUGUUAUUUCAAUGGAAAAAAGUAAGUGGAUUAAGGCACAUGUUAAUAUGAAAACUAAGCUGGGUAAAUUGGAGUGCAUUUUUUAAAUUAUUUAAUAGCAAUUGAAGGGUUAAGACCAAAAAAAAUUGUUACAGAGCUUGUUAAGAACAUGGCUAAUCUAUAUAUUAUUAUAUUAAUAUAUUCUAAAUUGUUAGUUUGUGACUUAUGCAUUUGUAUCUAUAAUUAAUAGUGUUGUCUGUGUUUACAUAAACAGACCAACAUAUUAGUUUUAGUUAAUAUUGAUUAAUUAAAAACUUUUAUUAUAGGUACUCACCUAAUUUUUUUAUACUUAGUUUUUAUACACACAUUAUAUAGAUACUACCUACCUAUGUUAUACCUAAAAUUAUAAUAGGUACACCAAAAUAAUAUUUGUAUUUACAUUUAAUAUAUUAAGUUAUAAAUAUAUUUUGUCUACAAUCAAAAAUGCUACUUACAUAAAUUUUCACUUUAAUUUUUUCUAUAUAUUGCUAUGUAUACAUAUAUAGGUACAUUGUGCAUAAAUUAGAGAAAAACAUUGUUUAUUAUUGGUUUUCAUUUGGUUGAACAUUAUAAUUAUUAUCAUUUGGAUAAUAACAUUAUUGUCCCCAAGUGAAUUCUUUAAAAUUUAAUCUAAUAUUUAUUUUAUAUAUUAUCUUAAAAAUAAAACCGAACCAUAAACUGUAAAACAACAUAGGUGGGUAAAUUUUUUCAAUUGGGUAUCAUUAUGGUUGUUCCUAAUUUGAAAUAACUUGUCAAUUUUUUAAUAUGAUCACUGCACUAUUUAGAAUUCUACAGUCUUGUAUUAAAUUUGUUUUUACUGUUAUUAUUAUUUUUAUUACGAAUUUAAAACAACCUAAAUUUACUGGAAACUUAUUUUGAGUACCUACUUAGAUGGGUUUUCAUAUGGAUGCCUGUAUUAUUAUUUAUGCAUUAUCCACAGGGUGAUCCAAAAAUCAGAAAUUGUACAGAUUCUUUUAAAUAUUAUCAAUCUGUAGUAGUCAAAUUUACUGUUAUUUUAGAGAACAUGUUUUUUUUGUACUAAUGAUAAUAUUUGUGUUGACAUAAAUGACUAAUAUGUAGCUUAUUGAAAUGUUUAUUCAUUUGGUACCUAUUAGAUAUUGAUUUCUCAAACUAUAAUCUUAAUUUUUCACCACUGUUCAUAAAUUAUAAAUAUCAUAAUAUUUAAAUUCUAUAAUGUAUAUAUUUUAAAUUAAUUUGUACAAGCCAUUAUUAUUAGAGUUAAAUAGUAUUUUAAAUUAAAAAUGAAUUGAC